rnacentral:rRNA from 1 species
AUGUACUCCUCGUACAUAUCUGCACUAGCACGCCUCUGUUUCAUCACAUCGCGCAGGUGCAGCCGCCGCCCGCCCGCUUCCAGGUUCCUUGUCGGCGCUGUGCCGUGGCCCUCCUCGCAUCUGGGUCUCCUCGGUUACGUGCCUUGGGUCUCCUCGGUUACGCGCUGCUCCGCGCAGGCACCCCUGCGGGCCCGACCUCCUCCGCCCUGGCUCGACGCGCCCAUGCUGCCUCAUCGGCGUCGCUCUGGCCGAGCGCCUCCGCGCCUACGCGGCCAUCGUGUUGUCGCGUCCCGUCACGGCUUCCGGCGGCUCGCCUCAACGGACGGCCGGCUCCGUCCGCCUCCAGGCGACCACCCCAGGCAGGCUGCGGGUAGCCGGCUCCUCCGCGCGCGCAGGGUCGCCGCAACCCGCCUGCUCCCCUGCCUCGCCUCCCAUGCACGCGCGCCUGGCAGCCGAGGCCAUGGCCGCUGCACAACCACGCCCGACGCUGCGUCCCUUCGUCGUCCUCUACUCUGGGUGCUCCCGAGCGCCGCAUCCGGCCUCGCCUGGCCUCCGCCGACUCCACCGCCUCGGGCCGCCGGCUCCGACCCGAGUGCCCGCCUCGCCGGCAUCUCCACCCAAGCCGGACCUCCUUGCCGCACGCGCCGGCCUCGCGCGGCGCCGGGUUCCUGGUCACUCCGCCCCCGCUGCGCGCGGGCCUCCUGCGGCCCUGCACUCCGGCUGCGCAGUUCCCGAUCCCGGCCACCCCCGCGCUCGUCCGGCUUCUCGCACGCGCCCCCGGCCGCCUCGCGCCGCGCCGGCUGUCACCCCGGCCGCCUGCUCCGGCUGAUCCACCCGCGCCGUCUGCUUCGCUCCACCCGCGCGGGCACCCGGUCGGCCUCUGCCGCGCCCUCCGCCUCCGCCGGCUCCGGAUGGCCGGCUCGCCGCCCCGCCUCCGCCAACACCCGGCUCGCGCCAAGCGGAACCGGCUCCUCUACCGUGCCGCUGGGCACGGCAGAGUGCCGUGCCUUCUUGCGCAAGAGCGUGCACAUAUGGGCCAGAAAGGCCUCCUAA